UUUUUUUUUUUUUUUUUUUUUUAGGGCUGCACCUGUGGCAUAUGGAGGUUCCCAGGCUAGGGGUCGAAUCAGAGCUACAGCUGCUGGCCUAUGUCACCGCCGCCACAGCAACACAGGAUCUGAGCUGCAUCUGUGACCUACACCACAGUGCAUGGCAACGUCAGAUCCUUAACCCACUGAGCGAGGCCAGGGAUCGAACCCACAUCCACGUGGAUACUAGUCGGGUUUGUUACUGCUGCACCGCAACGGGAACUCCCAGAACAGGUUUUAACUGCAGAGAAGGGGAGAGGAAUGACAGGAGGUAGGCUUGCGAACACAGAGGCCAUGGAGGGCUGUGAGAUCCAUUAAGGAGUUGGAGGCGUAAGGAAUCCAGUAGGGAGCAUGUAAAAAGAGUCAUUUAAUGUGAGGUGCUGGAGCUAGCUUGUACUUGCUCACAGGGGCCAAGGGUUCAAUUUUUAGGAAAUUUGUAAGCCAAAUUUGUAUUAAAUCACCAUAGCUUGCAAUCAGCGAUGGUAAGAGCAUUUAUACCAUGGAAACUGGCAAACACUACAAAUCAUGGCUCCCCUCCCACUCCGCCUCCCCAGAGAGCUGUAGUUAAACAUUUACCACCACUUCACUGCCUUUUUUGUUUGUUCGGGUAUUUUUGUUUUGUUUUGCACUUUUCCUUAAAAGAAAAAUGUCAAACAACCCAAAGUGCACAGCUGAAAAACCAACGAUCUCCAUCCUUCACCAGCCUCCACAAAAAUGAGAAGGCUUUGCUCAUCUUUCCUAACACUGGUACAGAAAUAUAAAAACAUUCAUCCAUAGACAAAGGGUUGUUUUUUCCCCCAGCAGAUGGUAUCAUGCUGCACAAUAACUACAACUUGCUUUUUUCCUAUUUUCCAUUUCACAUUAGACAUGGGCAUUGACACCUAUAGCUCUUAUUCAUCCUUUUAGAAAAUUAGAUUAUAUUCCAUAGAAUGGAUGUACCGUAACACACCACAAAGGGUUUCAACAGAGGGCUGUGUGAAGUGCUUGGGGGAUAUAGAGAAUGAGGCUGCUGGUGUUACCUUACUCAGCGUGGGCUUCCCAGAAGAGGUAGUAUUUAACUGGGUCCUGAAAGAUCAGUUGGGAAGGAGCGGGGGAAGGCACGUCCUAUGGAGAGAGAGCAGCAAGGGCUGGAGGUGAGAAUCUGAAGGCCAGGGAAGGGGCUUGCCCCCUCUCCUGGGGCCCUGGGCAGCCAUAGCAAGUCGUGGAGCACCGGUAUGGUGGGCAUUGCUGAACCCCGCAUCUUAACAAGCCUAGCCUGGCUGUGGCGUGGAGAAUGGAUUGGAGGCAGAAGGUCAGGUGCUAUUGGAAACCAGCUCCUUUUGUGCAGUGAUGGUAAGUGAGAGUUAGGAGGAGAUGAUAGACUGUGCCUGCCUUCCUGUUUUCCUUGACAACAUUGCAGGAGAACUUGUCCCACGCAGGUCCCAGCUGCCUCUCUCAGGAGUCAGUUCAUAAUUGGCUGCAGAGCAUUCUGGGAAACAAGGGAGAUUGCUAUGAAUCUUUGUAAUGAAGGAUAUAAUGGGUUUACACCUGAUCUGGGGACCUCCCUUUCACCCAGGCCCCUGCCACAGUCAGUCCCCCGAGGGCUCUAGAAAGUGGGCGAAAAUAACAGUGGGCACUUUCUCAGUGUCAGCCUCUGUUCAAGGCUCCUUACCUGUGUUAACACCCUUAGUUCUAUAUCCACGCUUCUCCAGCUACUCCAAAACUAUGUUAGUUUGAGCAUCUAUUUUUCUCAUUUGGACAUUUUUUUUUUUUUUUGUCUUUUUGCCUUUUCUAGGGCCUCUUUCGCAGCAUGUGGAGAUUCCCAGGCUAGGGGUCCAAUCAGAGCUGUAGCCGCCAGCCUACACCAGAGCCACAGCAACGUGGGAUCCAAGCCGCGUCUGCAACCUACACCACAGCUAAUGGCAAUGCCGGAUCGUUAACCUACUGAGGGAGGCCUGGGAUCCAGCCUGCAACCUCAUGGUUCCUAGUUGGAUUCGUUAACCACUGUGCCACGAUGGGAACUCCCUCAUAUUGGAGUCACCUCCUAAAUGGUCUUUCAGCUCUACCCUUGACUCCAUACGGUCUGUUCUCCACACUGAAGUCAAGGUGCAAGUGUUCAGUGUAUUAGUGGAGUGUGUCCUUGAAGGAAGAACAAUUGUUCACCCCAUUUUACAGGUGAGAAAAUCAGAGAGAUAAAGUAACUUGCUCAAGGGCCAGCCAGUGAGUGGAAGCGCUGGGUUCACACUCCAGAGCCCAACCUCUUAACUGCUGUCCUCUGCUGCUUCUCCAUGUUCAGAUAUUGUGCUUAUUAUUUGUGCAAUCAUUACAGCUCCUAUUAUUAGUUCCCAUUUCAUAGAUGAAGAAACUGAGGUUCAAAGAGGGUUCACAGUUGCCCCAGGUCUCGCUGCUAGUGAGUGGCAGAGCCGGGACUUCAACUCACAUCUGUCAGAAUCUGCAGCCUGAGCCACGCCUUCCAGGAAGGGAAGGGGGUAAGAAAAGAUGAGAGAUGGUAAGUAUGGGGAUCCAGCUGAGGACCCCUCACCAGAAUGCGGGUGUUCUCCAGCCUCUGAUGUUUGGGUCUAGCAUCUUCAAAAGGAUGACUUUUGUUUUCAUAGUUUGGAAAUCCCGUAGCACAGCACACACAUCAUGAGCAACGGCUCUGCCUGGCCACACCUACCUCCUCUCUUGGCCAAGACUGCCUUCAGGAUGUGACAGCAAAAUCUUGCCUCAGAGUUGGAGUCUGCAAAAGACAGGGCUCCCCUCUGGGUCUGGGGGAUAGGUGUUUCAGGAAGUGGUUUCAUCCUGCGUGGAGAAAACUCCUGUCCAAACCUGGUCUCACAUUUCAAAACUCUGCUCCCAGGCAGUGGUAUUGGUGCCCAUCCGUGAUGGGUAACAGACACCCAGUGAUGGAGUCUGAAUCAUUGCUCAGGGGCCACCACAGGCUAGGGAAGAGCCGAGAAACUGGCAUAUAGUGAAUCAGGCAUCGCUUGGUUUCCUAGCCAGCCUCAGAAUUCACUGAUGCUCACCUUGCAGAGCUGGCCUUGAGGAAGCCAAGAAUCAGUAUAACAGUAACUCACAUAGGGAGCACUUGUACGAAUCAGGAAUCAGCAUGUUACACACACCAUCCGCUGAAUGGUCAAUGCUGUGACAGGUUUUAUCACUCCUGGUUGAGAGAUGGGGAAACUGAGAGUUUAAGGGGCUUGCCUCAGAGCUGAGUCUAGAUCUGAACCCAGGUCAGACUCGAUAUGCACAAACAGAACACUUGCACCUUGGCUGCUGCAUAGAGAAAAGACUGUAGGGGGUCAGGGGUGGAGCCAAAAGAGCAUUUAGGAAGUGACUUCAAUAGGCCAGGUGAGAAAAAUGGAUGCUCAGACUAACAUAGUUAUGGAGUAUUUGGAGAAUAUAGUUGAUUCACAAUGUUGUAUUAGUUUCAGGUCUACAAUUCAGUGGUUUGAUAUUUUUAUAGGUUAUAUUCCAUGUAAAGUUAUUGUAAAAUCCUGAUUAUCUUCCCUGUAUUCUACAUUACAUUCUUGUAUCUUAUUUAAUUACCUAGUAAUUUGUACCUCUUAAUACUCUUCCCCUGUCUUAUUCCUUCUCUAACCCCUCCCCACUGGUAACUACUAGUUUGCUCUCUAUCUUUGAGUCUGUUUUGUUAUACUUGUUUUUUUAGAUUUCACAUAUAAGUCAAAGCAUAUAGUGUUUGUCUUUCUUUAUUGGACUUACUUCACUAAGUAUUUAACUCUCCAGGUCCAUCCAUGUUUUUGCUAAUGACAAAAUUUCAUUCUAUUUAUGACUGAGUAGUAUUCCAGUGUGUAUAUGUGUGUAUACAUACCUACCACAUCUUCCUUAUUCAUCUGUUGAUGGACACUUAGGUUGCUUCCAUAUUUUGGCUGUUGUUGUAAGUAAUACUGCUAUGAACAUAAAUAAUGUGGUUACAUGGUGCACAUAUCUUUUUAGGUUAGUGUUUUCAUCUUCUUCACACAUAUGCCCGGGAAUAGAAUUGCUGGGUCAUCUGAUCAUUCCUUCCUGGUGUGAAUCGUGGUUUAACACCUGACUUCACCUCUGGACUCUUAAGUGCAUGAAGGAAGGGCCAGGCUGCUUUGUGUUGCCAAUGCAUGCCUUGUGUCGAGCCCAGGAAGUGGCAUAUAGUGGCAUAUAGUAAGAGUGCAACACAAAAUUAUUGACUGAGUGUAUAAGUAGGUGCUGAAUGCAGGACCUAAAUGAGCAGAUGGCGUUCCCCUAGCAGAGCAAUGCAGGUGUCUCUGAAAGGUUGUUUAAAAGGCAAAUACGAUACCAAAUCUUACUCCAUUUACUUUAAUUACAAUACUAAGGAGGAGGAAUAAAUCUCGCUCUUGAAAUGCAAUAAAGUCAUACUCUAAAAUCUGGGCUGACUCUUCCACUUGCUUAUAUAUUCAAAUAAGACAUAAAUAAUGGCACCUAAAAUAGGUUCCUGACUUGGCUCCACUGCUAACUAGCUGCUGAUUAUGGACAAGUCAGUUAACUCUGCCUGUCACUAUGUGCCUCGUAUGGUUUUGGGAGGCUCUAGGUUGGUGGUGUGAAAACCCUUUGAAACCACGGUCUUAUUUUUUUAUCCAUUCUUCUCAGCCUUGUUAGUAACAAGAAGGAAAAGGCUUUGAGCCAGAGAGAGUGGAGUCGAUUUGCAGGGCUGGAGGAUUGAGGCCGCAGAGAGGAAUGAAAAGGUGGAGAGAUGCUUCAGGGGGUGGGUAAAGGGGGGAGAGGCCCAGAGAGCACGAGGAAGGGGAUUAUGUCCUGCGGGCUAAGCAUAAGGGGGGAGGGGGUGACUGAUGGUUUCUGAGCUGGGGAGGGUGACCUGAAUAAAAUCGCCCUGGUGGCCGAAUGCCCACAUGAGGGAAGGCAAAAGAAUAACCCCUUUGGCUGGCCGUGUGGUUACACCGGAGUGAUGCUGGGCAUCCCCUAGGAGACCGUGGCUGCUCUGGGCUGCGGCUCUGAGCACAGGUCUGUGAGGUUGCACCCCGCCUGGCAGCCGUGGGAGGGCAGAGCGUGGAAUCCCUGGGAGUGGGCACGGGAGCCGCCAGGCCCAGAGCAGGAGCAAAGCCAGCAGGGCAGAGCCCAAGGCCAGGUGGAGAGUGUGAGGAGGAGGCAGCCCAGGGGGGUCAUCCUGCACAGCCUGCCUGGGUAAAGAGGCUGCAGUCCCCCUGAAACAGCCCACAGUUCCCGUGUGGGAAUGGGGCGCCAUCGUUGACAGCAGGCAUUUCCAGGGAGGCUGGGUUUUAAAUGUGGGAUUAUGCUAUUUGCAGUUAAAACAAAACCCAACCAAACAAACCAAAAAAACCACAGGCCCAACAGGACAGGUCUGAGGCUGUGCUCGGGCUUCCCUUGUGAGAUCCCAUUUGAUCCCUCUCCCUCCCCUCCCCCUUCAAAGGAAGAAGCCCAGCAAACUCAACUCAUCCUCCCUCUCCAUCCUGUUCACGCCGUUGUCCGUUCUCCUUGCUGGAGCAUUUAGUAGCAGCAAAGUUGGUAUUAGCUGGAGUCCACUGAAGAUGAGUCCACUCGUUCAUUCAUUCAUUCAUUCAACAAACUUCCCUCUAGGUAUCACACACCGCUUGGUGCUGCGAACACCGCCGCCGUGGUGAUGAAUGCAGAAUUUACAUUCCAGUGGGAGAGGAGGACUACGAGACGUAAACAGACUUGGAGGAAAGUGUCCGCUUGUGAUAGGCCCUGUGAAUAAAGAUACCGCGGGGAGAGGAGAGAGCAGAUAUUUUAACUGGAAACAUCUGACGGCUGAGUCUGCUGGGAGGGAGGUUGCAGGGGAAGCGCCAGGCUGUGGUCGUCCAUCUCCUGCUCGGGCAGGCUGACGUGAAGGGGAACAGACACACGGUACAGGGUAAGUCAGAGUAAGCCUCGCUGCGCCCCAUGUAUCUCCUGCCUUCCAGGUAUCCCUGAUACAAGUCUUGCCAUGGGUUACUCACUUUUUUGGAAGGUGAAAUGGCAUCUCGAAAUCUCUUCUUUACCAAGACAGAUAAUUGUGGGAGGUGUGACAACCUCCCAUCUUGAAGAGAAUGACAAGGUUCUUAGCAUGACCCACACAAGGCCCUGUGUGAGAUGUAGCCCUCACUCACUCCCUGGUUGGGGCUGCAAGCUCUUGGGGGCCCAGUGCACAAUGACCGGUUGGCUCACUGCAUGAUUGUGACCUCUGGGAGGGCAGAAUUUUUGUCUUUCUGUUUGGUUGGAUGGCUGCUCUGUGGCCAGUGCCUGGCUCCUGAGAGGCUCACUCUGUGUUGUUGAAUAAGGCAUAACGUGAGUCAUGAGGUGGAUGUGCCAGUAGGGCUUCUUUUAACAUGUGUAAAGGACCUUCUGUGUGUCCAACACAGGGCGAAGGCAGUGGUUUUCAACCCUGUUUGCAAAUGAGAAUCAAUCGCCCCCGGAAUUCUUAAAAAUCCCAAUGCCUGGCUCCACCCAGAGCUGUUCUAUCAGAAUCUAGAGGGGGAGGGCCUCCGUAUUUUUCCACAUUCCAAUGUGAGCCAAGCGUGAGGACCAGGGACCCAGCUGUAUUCCACUUGGUGCUGAAGGCCUGUGUACAUCAGAAUCACCUGGGCAGCUUGGUUACUGCUCAGAUGCCUAGGGCCAUCUUCAGAGAUUCUGGACCAAUAUGUUUGAAAUGGGGUGGCCUGUUUAUACUAAAGUUUAAGAACCUGAAAUAUCUUGUUGAUGUCUAUGGUUAUCUCUGUUUUACAGACAAGAAAAAAAGAGGCCAAGAGAGGCUACAUAGUUUGUCCAAAGGAACAAAAUAGGUGACUGGCAGAACUGGGAUUGGAACCCAAGGCUUUUGGAGCCAUAGUCUGGGCUUACCCAUGAGCUCCUCUGCCUUUCCUUAGUGAUGAAAACCCUAAGUGUACUCUGGGAGUAAGGGGACAAUUUGAUUGUGAAAAUUAAAUAAACUACUAUUUUCAAGAUGGGCAAAUUGGUAUUACUACCCCCAUGGGAAGGAAGCAAGUCCAGCAGUGCAUUGACCUUCAUCCCUAGGGUCACCCUGGCUUUAAGGGGAUGAGCUGGGAUUCUGACCCUGGUUUCCAGACUCCAAAUCUGGCCCAUUUCCCUAAGAUCCUCAAAUUCCACAUUAGCGAGUGAAUCACUGAGGACCUAGGGCAUCUGGUAAUUUUGUUGCUUGCGUCCUGCGCAUAGUAGGUUCUCAAGCAGUGAGAUUUACAAUGAGCAGCCAUGGGGGUGGCUGGCUAGCCGGGUGGGUGAGAGAGGGAGUAAAGGAUUCUGGGUGCAGCUUGGUCUCUGUGGUGGGUUUACUGUCUCUAUUUUUCAAUUAGAGUUGAUACCACUAGAGGGCGAUAUCGGACAAGGAAAAGAACAAAAGAUGCUUCUCCGCUGUUUCUAGGACUGGAAAAAGUAAUAUGUUUGUGGCAUGGAUUUAAACCGGAAGGGGAGGCUCUAAUUCACAGAGCAAUUAAAGUGAGCUUUGUUUUCCCCUGGGCUUGUAGGCCAUUGGGAACCUUCUUCAAAUGAUGGGAACACAUGGGGCCAUCCCUGACCUUUCUAGAUUUAAAAUCAACAGAUCAAGGGGAGGAGAGGGGACAUCUUGGCUUGAAAAGUGGAUGCUUAUUGAAUAAAAGGCAAUUUUUAAGAAAAGACAUUCCGUAGCUUCCCAGACUUUUACAACAUUGAUGGGAGUUAAUGUUUCGAGAAAUGGUAUUAUGAUGGAGUUGAAUGCUGAAUUAAUUUUCCAUAAAUAAAACCAUACAUUUUCACA
rnacentral:lncRNA from 1 species